rnacentral:rRNA from 1 species
CAAAAACAUAGCCUAUAGCCAUACUAGUAUUAUAGGUGUAACCUGCCCAGUGAAACACACUUUUAAACGGCCGCGGUAUCCUAACCGUGCAAAGGUAGCGCAAUCACUUGUCCCCUAAAUAGGGACUUGAAUGAAUGGUUCAAUGAGGAUUUACCUGUCUCCUACACCCAAUCAAUGAAACUGAUUUCCAGGUACAAAAGCCUGGAUAACCUCAUAAGACGAGAAGACCCUGUGGAGCUUUAAACUAUCAAUUACCAACACUAAUUACCUGUUUUAAGUUGGGGCAACUUUGGAAAUAAAAUAACUUCCAAGACAAAGGCCCAAAGCCUAACUAAGGUCUACAUACCAAAGUAAACUCAUGACCCAGUAAUACUGAUCAACGAACUAAGUUACCCCAGGGAUAACAGCGCCAUCUUUCUCUAGAGUUCAUAUCGACAGGAAGGAUUACGACCUCGAUGUUGGAUCAGGACAUCCAAGUGGUGCAGCCGCCACUAAAGGCUCGUUCGUUCAACGAUUAAAGUCCUACGUGAUCUGAGUU